ACCCUUUUCCUGCGCGCUUUCAAUUUUCCUCGUUGUAGCAGCAGAAGCUAUUUUAAGCUUGGAAGAAAGUUGAAAAUUUGAAGAAGAUCGAUGAAGAAGACGAGUAAAGAGAAGGCUAAUGCUGUUGGUGUUUCCGAAGAUGUUCAAAUGGUGGUCAAUUUAGUUGCAUACAAAAGAGAGAGAAAAAGAUAAAUUAAGCAAGAAGAAAAGAAAAAGUAAAGAGAAAAUCAACGCUAGCGUUGGAACUGAUGAUAGUCUUGUUAAUGAGAACGAAGUUCAUGUUCAAGACAAACCUAGAAAUGAUAGAAAUAAGAAGUCAAAUGGGCAGUUGGUGGAAAAGUGUAAAGCAGCUCACGAGGAUGAAGUUUAUGAAAUACCGUCCGGAGAGACGAUUGCUCAAAAGGAAUGAAAAGUAUGAAACUGGUGAAUUUUCUUUAAAUAUUUUGAGCCUUUGGUAAAUGCAGUAGAAAUAAAGUUCCAAAGCAUUACUGUUCUUUGUCAAAUUCAGGCAUAUGUAUUCUGAAUUUUGCUUUAAAACUUAUUUCAGUUUUGUUUCCAUCUUCAUUUAGUAUAUGCGUCGUAGAAGGCAAUAUUGCAAUUGUCAAACUUGUAG